rnacentral:misc_RNA from 1 species
AUGCCUGUCCGAGCGUCAUUGGAAACCAUCAAGCUCGGCUUGGUCUUGGGCGCGGUCUGGGGACCCGCCCGCAACCCGUCGGCGGUGCCGUCCGGUCCCGAGCGUAGCAGAGAUACUCGUUCGGUGGCCGCGGCGCGCCCGCCAGGAGCCUACAUCUACAGUUUGACCUCGGAUCAGGUAGGGAUACCCGCUGAACUUAA